rnacentral:rRNA from 1 species
AGUGGCAUUUGCUGGGUAGCUAUGUUCGGAAAGGAUAAGCGCUGAAUGCAUAUAAGCGCCAAGCCUCCCCUAAGAUAAAAUAUCCCUCUCCUUCAUGGAGAUAAGGCACCUUGUAGACUACGAGGUUGAUAGGCCAGGUGUGUAAGGCCCGUAAGGGUUUCAGCUGACUGGUACUAAUCUGCCGAAAGGCUUGGCCAC